CCCGUACUUGGUGUUACUGCGAAGGGGGGACGGAGAAGGCUAUGUUGGCCGGGCGACGGUUGUCCCGGUUUAAGCGUGUAGGCUGGUUUUCCAGGCAAAUCCGGAAAACUGAGGCGUGAUGACGAGGCACUACGGUGCUGAAGCAACAAAUGCCCUGCUUCCAGGAAAAGCCUCUAAGCAUCAGGUAACAUCAAAUCGUACCCCAAACCGACACAGGUGGUCAGGUAGAGAAUACCAAGGCGCUUGA
rnacentral:rRNA from 1 species